rnacentral:misc_RNA from 1 species
CGAAUUUCAGUUUCAAAAUCCCUCCAAAGGGUAAGGUUUCUUCUGGAUUAGUACCAUUUUCAACGGAAUGAGAAUGAGGUUCGUUCAAUUUCAAGCAAAGGACGUAGGCACAAGGAGAUUUCAACACCUGGAAGAUUCGAGUACAGCUCAUACAAACGGAUAAGGUGACGUGAUUUCUAGGUCUCGCCCAAGAUUAAACUCGUAGAGAAAGAGAAGUACGCGCCGGGUUGAUGAAUUG